AUGCUUCCUAAAGCCCCCCUUGAAAUCAGGACUGGGAUACUCAAAAAAGCUUCGCAGCUCAAUGCAGCAAUGGCGACUCUUUCUCCCCCUGUGGUACACCCGCAGGUCUCCCUCCGGCGACAAGGGUGGCGGCGGCUGCAUGGCUUGCCAAGCUGCCAGUUCAGACACGCCGGGAGAGUGCAGUCCAGCUACAGGGGACUCGAAGCGCUGUACGAUGAUGGGUACGGGACGGUCAAGGGCCUGGACUACUACUAUCAGGCACUCGGGCAGCUGGUGGGGUAUGACAGCGGGCCGCCCUGCUGGUUAUGCCCUGUCGAUGCUGGCUCGACGGUCGAGGAUGCUCCACUCAUGCUGUAUUUGCCAGGAGUAGAUGGGAUGGGGAUGGGGCUCUGCAUGCACCACAAGGCUCUUGGAAGGAUAUUUGAACUUAGAUGCUUGCACAUUCCUUUUCACGACCGCACACCAUUCGAAGAACUUGUCACAAUGGUAGAAGAUGUUGUGAGGGCAGAGCAUUCCACUUCUCCUAAUAAGCCCAUCUAUCUAUUGGGGAAUUCCUUUGGAGGAUGCUUAGCUCUUGCAGUUGCUGGUCGCAAUCCCCGUAUUGAUUUGAUACUGGUACUAGUCAAUCCAGCUACUUCAUUUGAGAGGUCAGACAUAAAAAAGCUUCUGUCAGUUUUCAGCUCGAACAACGCCUAUAUUGCAAUUACAGCUCUACUGAACUACAACAUCGACAACGAGGUGAACAUGGCUCUGUGUGCCUUUAAUUGCAGAAUAUACUGGACAAACUACCAGAAGACACACUAA
rnacentral:rRNA from 1 species